rnacentral:rRNA from 1 species
AGUGAACGCUGGCGGUAGGCCUAACACAUGCAAGUCGAACGGCAGCACAGUAAGAGCUUGCUCUUACGGGUGGCGAGUGGCGGACGGGUGAGGAAUACAUCGGAAUCUACUUUUUCGUGGGGGAUAACGUAGGGAAACUUACGCUAAUACCGCAUACGACCUACGGGUGAAAGCAGGGGAUCUUCGGACCUUGCGCGAUUGAAUGAGCCGAUGUCGGAUUAGCUAGUUGGCGGGGUAAAGGCCCACCAAGGCGACGAUCCGCAGCUGGUCUGAGAGGAUGAUCAGCCACACUGGAACUGAGACACGGUCCAGACUCCUACGGGAGGCAGCAGUGGGGAAUAUUGGGCAAUGGGCGCAAGCCUGAUCCAGCCAUACCGCGUGGGUGAAGAAGGCCUUCGGGUUGUAAAGCCCUUUUGUUGGGAAAGAAAAGCAGCAGGUUAAUACCCCGCUGUUCUGACGGUACCCAAAGAAUAAGCACCGGCUAACUUCGUG